ACUUAAAUUGAAGAGUUUGAUCAUGGCUCAGAUUGAACGCUGGCGGCAGGCCUAACACAUGCAAGUCGAGCGGCAGCGGGAAAGUAGCUUGCUACUUUUGCCGGCGAGCGGCGGACGGGUGAGUAA
rnacentral:rRNA from 1 species